CGAAAGUUUACAAAAUAUUGUUCCAACCUAUUUUCAACUAUUUACCAAUCCUUAUUUAUGCGAUGGAAUAGAAACAUAUAAGGCGAUAUGGCUCUAAUAUGUAGUAAUCCUUCUGGAAGUGAUGAAUAACAAUCUAUGCAAGAAAUAUUCUCGGAAAGGUAUAGAGAAUAAGGCAGGCAGCGGCUGAAAAAUGAUAGGCGAAGUAAACUGAGAAACAAA
rnacentral:lncRNA from 1 species